ACAUGCAAGUCGAACGAUGAUCUCCAGCUUGCUGGGGGGAUUAGUGGCGAACGGGUGAGUAACACGUGAGUAACCUGCCCUUGACUCUGGGAUAAGCCUGGGAAACCGGGUCUAAUACUGGAUAUGACUCAUCACCGCAUGGUGUGUGGGUGGAAAGAUUUAUUGGUUUUGGAUGGACUCGCGGCCUAUCAGCUUGUUGGUGAGGUAAUGGCUUACCAAGGCGACGACGGGUAGCCGGCCUGAGAGGGUGACCGGCCACACUGGGACUGAGACACGGCCCAGACUCCUACGGGAGGCAGCAGUGGGGAAUAUUGCACAAUGGGCGCAAGCCUGAUGCAGCGACGCCGCGUGAGGGAUGAAGGCCUUCGGGUUGUAAACCUCUUUCAGUAGGGAAGAAGCCUUUUGGGGUGACGGUACCUGCAGAAGAAGCGCCGGCUAACUACGUGCCAGCAGCCGCGGUAAUACGUAGGGCGCAAGCGUUAUCCGGAAUUAUUGGGCGUAAAGAGCUCGUAGGCGGUUUGUCGCGUCUGCCGUGAAAGUCCGGGGCUUAACCCCGGAUCUGCGGUGGGUACGGGCAGACUACAGUGCAGUAGGGGAGACUGGAAUUCCUGGUGUAGCGGUGAAAUGCGCAGAUAUCAGGAGGAACACCGAUGGCGAAGGCAGGUCUCU
rnacentral:rRNA from 1 species